UUUUUUUCGGAUUUUCGAAAAUCUAGUUCCGAUCGAAGACGAACGACAACACGACGAAGCUCUAACGUAGGAAGGGCAGAAAAGAGGUUCUAUUAUGUUGUUUUUGUUGGAAAAGUCCCCGGAAUUUAUGAAAGUUGGAUAGCUUGUAGCGAACAAGUAACUUGCUUCUCUGGGGCUGUGUUUAAAAAAUAUCCCUCAUUGGAAGAGGCAAAUAAUGCUUGGACUACAUAUGUUGAAGCUCAUUCCAAUGUGCAAUUGCUGUCUCUUCAACUUGCUCAACUCCGGAUCGAUUAUCCGCCUUUGCUUGUACCUAUGCAAGCAAACAUGGAUGACCAAACUUCUUUUAAGCUGCCCAAAUAUUGCAUGUACAUUGCAAUGCUCUUACUUGGAGCUGUAAUAGGAAUUUUAAUUUUGUUGGUCAUCAUGUAUUUUUUCUUUUAGUUGGUUUAUGUAAUGGUUAUGUUGAACAAAAUUUCUAGCUUUUGAUGUGUAUAAAUUU